UACGUAGGGGGCAAGCGUUGUCCGGAAUCAUUGGGCGUAAAGCGCGUGUAGCCGGCUCGAUAAGUCUGCUGUGAAAGUUCAGGGCUCAACCCUGAAAUGCCGGUGGAAACUGUCGAGCUAGAGUACGGAAGAGGCGAGUGGAAUUCCUGGUGUAGCGGUGAAAUGCGCAGAUAUCAGGAGGAACACCAAUGGCGAAGGCAGCUCGCUGGGACGUUACUGACGCUGAGACGCGAAAGCGUGGGGAGCAAACAGG
rnacentral:rRNA from 1 species